rnacentral:lncRNA from 1 species
GAACAGAAUUCAUCACAGUUCUGUGACAUGGUGUCCAGUGGAUGUGUCAUGGGGCAGCGAGCUCACAUUUAUUUAUUUAUUUAUUUAUUUAUGGUGCUGGGGAUCGAACCCAGGGCCUUGUGCUUGCGCAGCGAGCACUCUGCCAACUGAGCUAUAUCCCCAGCCCUCACCCUUAUUCAGAGGCCAGCUGGCUGCCAAAUCAGCUCGGUUCAUUUAGAGAACACCUGUUUCCACCUGGUGACAUGAGUCUGCAUAUGACGUGGGGCCUCUUGUGCAUCUAUUGCCGUGACCCCACAGGAGGAGGGGAUGUCAGGGGAUGCAUCGUAGGCCAUUGAAGAUAGCCAUCCAGGGCUCUUCCCUGGGGGUCCCCGCUGUGUGCAUCCAGGGCUGUCUUGUGGAGAUCAGAGAACUGAGGCUUCUGAGAGGCCAAGAAAGUUCCCAGGAAAGGGAUGGGGAUGCCACCUCAGAGGGGCUCCCUGCUCCCCAGGAACGGAGGCUGAAGGGCCUCUGCUCACACUCCUUCACCAGGCUCCCUCCCGCUGUCCACCACGGCUCGGGGAGUAAAUUAAUAAAUUCUCACCAUGCUUUUGAGGGCCUCAGGGUGUCUCGGUUCAUUUUGGGCAGCUACAACAGAACACCACAGCCUGGGUCUCUCUUGAUGGGCAGAGACUUACUGACUGACGCUUCUGGAGGCUAGAAGUCCAAUUCAAGGGGCCAGGGUCCGUCCAGGCCCCUCUUGCUGUGCUGUUGAACGAUGGAAGGAAGAGAUAAAGCUAAUGGGUGAAAAGGGGCGGGAGAACCGCCUUUUAUAAACAACCAUGUCCCCCGAGUGAGCCGACUCCCCCAGUCCCCCACUGCACCCUUGUGGCCUAGCCCCUCUCCUCGGGCCUCAGCUCCCAUCUCUGCUGCCCUGGGGCCCUGGAAAGCGCACGGCAAGGUCUUCAUUAGAGAAAGCUGAGUGCUUGGAGGAGUCCCCGGGGAUGUCCCCGCCCUCCUGUGUGCCUCUGCUUUAUCACUACAGGGCUCUUCCUCAGAGGCCACCGGGGAGGAGUUUUGCUUUCUUUCAUCCCAACUCAGAAGGCAGCAGAGAGGACGAUGUCAGCAGAACCAAGGGACAGAGGAACAGGCGUCUCAGCCGUUCAUUGACCUUCAGAGGUCGGCCGAGUCUGAGCUCUAACGAGGCGGCUUCAUGAUGAAGACGAUUCCCCCGUGUCCACUUUCCUCCUGGAUCUUACCACCCCUGGGGGGGCCCCGCAACAGCAGAGCAAAUUCUUAGUUUUAAAUAUUGAUUUAAUGGGAGUAAAUUGGUACUUCUUUAGUUAAUCUGGGGCAAGUGAACAUUUUUAGAAAUAAUUCAUUUCUGCUAGUGGCUCAUUUGUACCUUGUGGUCUCAGGUAUAUUCUUCUUACCAACUUACAGAGGGAUAGCACCGAGAACUACACAAAUGAAGACUAUAGUUGUAACCACCCACCCCCACCCC